GUGCAGUCUGCACACACCUCCAACAGCUAGAGCACUUGCAUAGAACUGAGCACCUUUCUUCAGCUCCUGUGACUGUACAAGCUACCUACCACAGCCCAUAUAGUCUAUGACCAAGAUCAUCUUCUGAAGCCAACCCAUGAUGUGACUCAUCUUCAGCGCGCUGUCCUAUGUGGCUGACAGCAUAAUUUCCUGCUGCUGCCCCUCCGGAAAGAUCAAAUCAGCUACAGGUUGACAAUAUCAGCUCAGGGGGGAGGAUGUGUGGACAGUCUUCAAAGCGGCACCUUCCAGUGAAAACCCUCCAGAAAAUAAGAUCCUCUCUUAGAUGGCUAUUUUAGAGAGGGACUAGGGGUAGGGUUUUUGUACUUUGAAAAUGCAUCCUUCCUUCAAGAUUUCACUGAUUAGUACAGAAUUAGAUAGUUCUGCAUAUGUCUAGCCGGUACUUUUCCUCUGUGCUUGUGAUAAUGACGACUUGUCUGUAAACUCCUUGUUUGGGAGGUGGAUAUAUCUGACAACACCCAAGUACAGAAGGUAACCAGCAGAGUCGAGUGUAUCUGAACUGCAACCUAUUUUGCUUUCAUUAUAUUUAGUAAAAUCUAUGACAAACGUAUUGAACAAAGUUAUAUGUAAUUAAGAAAAUGUUACUUGAUGGAUCACAUUUCAGACUUGAUUGUAGCUUUAUUGCUGUUAUCUAACAAAUCUCUAUUUUCUGGGACAGGACCAUUUACACUGGUAAAAAAUAUCUUUACAGGUUUCUUGACCCAACCUUACAACCACUGCUAAAUGUCAGCGCUAAAGCCAGAGCUAUUACAGACGUCACAGAGCUAUAAAAAGUCAAGGCCUAUAUUCGUCAUACUCUAUUUAGAGAACUAUAGAAUCGUAAAUAAUGCCCAUAAAACAAAAUCACAAUCGACAUAUUUUAUAUUACCAUUCUUUCAUCUAACAGACAAACCCUUCAAAGCGAAUUUGAUACGCUUUACAAAUGUGUCUACGAGCUUCAAGACUCCCACCUUUGGUGAGAAUUAGUGGUUGCUGCACACAAAGAAAAAAAACAAUAUGACGUAACAAUGUUAUAUAGAAAAAUAAACUGUAAAUUAAUGUAUGAAGA